CUUCUUAAUUAAUAGGAUCGCAGGCUCCACCAGAGCAAUCAGAAGCUACAACCUCUCCAAUGAGCUUGAACUCCUGCAGCUCCUUGAAGUUCAACCAUGGCUUCACCCAAACCUUGGCUUCGUACACUUUCUCCUUCUCACCAUCCAUGGCCUCUAAGCAAAACGACCAAGGCUCUCAGUCGUAGCACUAUUCUGGCUUUCUUCCACUGUGCUGAUCCCUCCCAACAUUUUCUUGCUCUCUUUUUUCCUUUAAUUUUGUGAUGUACAACAUGCAAUUUGGUCAAAUUAGUUGCGCGUGGAAAAUAAAAACUGUGUACGGCCUUAGUAUUGGAAUUUUUGGUUUAUUUGGUUGCGUAGUCUUUCAUUGUCUUCUGGUCUAAGUUAUACUUAAAGAGAAUGUUACUUUUUAUAUUAGAAUUAGUGUACGAAUUUGUAAACAUCUACUCUAUAAUAAUUGAUUAGAUUCACAGUUUUAA